rnacentral:rRNA from 1 species
AUUGAACGCUGGCGGCAUGCCUAACACAUGCAAGUCGAGCGGAGCGUCGGACGGGUGAGUAAUGCCUAGGAAUCUGCCUCUUAGUGGGGGAUCACGUACGGCAACGGGCGCUAAUACCGCCUACUAUCAGAUAAGCCUUGGUCGGUAUAGCUAGUUGGUGGGGUAAUGGCCUACCAAGGCGACGAUCCGUAACUGGCCUGAGAGGAUGAUCAGAAACACUGGAACUUGGACACGGUCCAGAAUCCUACGGAGGGCGGCAGUGGGGAAUAUUGGACAAUGGGCGAAAGCCUGAGCCAGCCAUGCCGCGGGUGGGAAGAAGGUCUUCGGAUGGGAAAGCACUUUAAGUUGGGAGGCGUUACCAACAGAGUAAGCCCCGGCUAACUUCGUGCCAGCAGCCGCGGUAAUAC